rnacentral:rRNA from 1 species
UACGGAGGAUGCGAGCGUUAUCCGGAUUUAUUGGGUUUAAAGGGUGCGUAGGCGGAAUAUCAAGUCAGCGGUAAAAAUUCGGGGCUCAACCCCGUCGUGCCGUUGAAACUGAUGUUCUUGAGUGGGCGAGGAGUAUGCGGAAUGCGUGGUGUAGGGGUGAAAUGCAUAGAUAUCACGCAGAACUCCGAUUGCGAAGGCAGCAUACCGGCGCCCAACUGACGCUGAAGCACGAAAGCGUGGGUAUCGAACAGG